rnacentral:lncRNA from 1 species
GCCUUAUUUUACUUUGGCACUUAGGCCUCCAUCUCUGUCCCGCUCCCCGCCUUCUGGCCCACGUGGGUGCAGCUCACCUGCCAGGUCGCCAAGCGCCAAGCCCUGGACUGGCUUCCUUGCACUUCCAGCUCCGUGGUCCCAACAUACAGAGGGAAAGAGCAGGUUGCCCCCGUUCCUUCCCAGGGCGCUCUGUUCACUCUCGGCGGGGCGAGCCUACCUGCCUUCCCCACCCUGCAAGCGCAGCGACAGGCAACAGACAAGAAUUCCUUUUGAAAUAGGCUCUGGCGUCAAUGUGACAAAACUCAGCCUGUCACCACCUGGAGCGACAGCCUUGUGGUCUGAACCGACUCAGCUGCGAGGAUCCUGGGAGGUCUGAUUUCACGCCGCUUCUUGUCUGUUCUUUUUCGAACCACGCUAGACAACUUUUAUGAUGGCUUCAAAAACACAUGGUGGCACAGCCCUGUUUGGGGAGGAGGUGCCCCACUUGUUUUUCUUCUCCUGUCAGAUAGUUCCUGUGCUUAAAAGAAGAUUGUGUUUGGUUUCGGAGGAUAAGUCCCCAGAUAUUACACGGACGGAGCGUGGAGGCAUCUAUAUCCAAGGCCUGUCACAGUGUCGAUACAAAACUUCUUUCUCUAUUCUUAGGGCAUAACGCCCCCACGCGUGAGAGAGGGACAUCUCAAGAAUCUGAAGAAGUAGUAGGAUGGCUGAAAGAAGUGGUCGGAGAGCCAGACUGUUCAUUUUUCCUUGGGCUAAAGAACAGACAAAAUAGUGAGAGCGGAUCUGGUCAAAAUCGAAGUGGCAUGGGGAACACAGAGCGCUAAGCAGGAUGUUAGAUGCAACCUUCUUCUGAAGACGUUCGCAGAACCAGGAAAACGUGAGCUCUGGUGAAAGGGUCUCUAGAGGUAAGAGCAGAUGUCAAAGUCCAGUCCUUGUGACUUCUGGUGGAACACC